GUCUACGGCCAUACCACCCUGAACGCGCCCAAUCUCGUCUGAUCUCGGAAGCUAAGCAGGGUCGGGCCUGGUUAGUACUUGGAUGGGAGGAAGAGCCAUAAUGAAGACU
rnacentral:rRNA from 1 species